rnacentral:rRNA from 1 species
GUACGGCUCUGAGAGGAGGGCACCGGAGAUGGGUACUGAGACACGGACCCAGGCCCUAUGGGGCGCAGCAGGCGAGAAACCUUUGCAAUGUGCGAAAGCACGACAAGGUUAAUCCGAGUGUCUCCUGCUAAAGGAGUCUUUUGUCAGUUGUAGAAUCACUGGUGAAUAAGGGGUGGGCAAGUUCUGGUGUCAGCCGCCGCGGUAAAACCAGCACCUCGAGUGGUCAGGAGGUUUAUUGGGCCUAAAGCAUCCGUAGCCGGUUGCAUAAGUUUUCGGUUAAAUCUAUGCGCUUAACGUAUAGGCCGCCGAAAAUACUGUGCAGCUAGGGAGUGGGAGAGGUACACGGUACUCGAUAGGAAGGGGUAAAAUCCUUUGAUCUAUUGAAGACCACCUGUGGCGAAGGCGGUGUACCAGAACACGUUCGACGGUGAGGGAUGAAAGCUGGGGGAGCAAACCGGAUUAGAUACCCGGGUAGUCCCAGCUGUAAACGAUGCAGGCUCGGUGAUGCAUUGGCUUGUGGCCAAUGCAGUGCCGCAGGGAAGCCGUUAAGUCUGCCGCCUGGGAAGUACGUACGCAAGUAUGAAACUAAAGGAAUUGGCGGGGGAGCACCACAAGGGGUGAAGCCUGCGGUUCAAUUGGAUCAACGC